AUUUUAAAUUGUUUGUGACAUUUGCUACCUGAAUCGACGCUGUAAAGAAGUUUGUAAAAAAAAAUCUUUCAACUUUUAUUUAUUUCAGCUGAUGCGUUCGCGGGCUAUAUUCAGAUGCAUUUACCACCUGUCUUCUGAAUAUUGCUGAUAUUCGAUAAUAAUAUAUUUAUUUACUAGAUGUGGCGUAGCGUUUAGGAAACGUCAAAAUUUGACUUCAAAUAGUGAGGUUUUGGAAUCACAGAUAUAUUUGCAGCAAAUUAAUUACUAUUUUACCAGGUUCCAAGCAUUUCCAACUCUAAUAAAUUUGGCGAUUUAUAGUGGGUGCUCACAUGAAAAAUCAAUCAACUGUGGUGCAACCGAAAUGUGCGCCAAUAAACCCAGAAAAAUGUUAAACAAAUCACUUGAACAAACGGAAAAGCCAGCAAUCACACAAUUAAACAAACAACAUUGAUUUUAGCAAAAAGAUCAGCUACUAUGAUUUCUGCUUUCGUGGCACAUUGUAAAAAAAUAUGAAAUAAAAGACUCUGCUCCAUCUGGUUAUAUAUUAAUGCGGCAGUAGAAGUGGUUGCUCUCACUCUGCGACCAUUGUUGCAUUAAUUUCCCCUCUUCCACAGGGUAGCCACGCCCAAACGCUGGUGUGAAGUAUAUAAUUACGCACACAUGCAAAAGUAUCAGCUUUGGUACUGUUAACUUAAGUAUCUCAUAUGCGCUCUCCCUCUUACGCACAUUCUUAUUGGCUGCUGCCAUAAACCAGUUUCUGAACAUAAGCAGUGGAUACGAGGUGUAUAGAAUAUGCAAGAAAAAGUAAGAGAGUGGAGAGUGUGUACUAUAUACUCCACACUCCAGCGAACACCAUUUCGGUCACACCUGCGAUCUGUGCUGCCUUGACGCUUCUGCAUUUUGAGCGUAUAAUGAACACACUUGAGCCCAGCGUCGAGCCAUUUCAGUGGCCCUUAUUUACCAAGAUGGGAGAAGCUCGUCAUUUCUUUUUGUUAUUUUUAUUUACCUGCCUUUCUUUAAUUUGCUUUGCUAGUUUUAAAGAAGUCAAGAGUUGUUUGUGUUAAUUGUGUGCAGUUGUUGUAGUUGUCUUCAUUUAUUUUGCAGCCUAAAUGUUGAUAGCUCAGCGAAGACUCCUGAUUUCAUUGUUGUUUUGGUGAAGGAAUGAUGAUUUCUCACUUCAUUGAAUGGCUGUGCAAAACUAUUGGUAUAUGGGAAGGAAUAUUUAUAAACAUACGUACAUAUAUAACUGAAGAAUGAAUAUUAAUUUUUGCUAUCAUAAUUUAUUGAAAUGUACUUAAUGGUUGCACGACCACAAAUAUGGGAGAGAACAUAAAAAUUAAAAAUA